AGUUCGAUCCAGCUCAGAUUGAACGCUUAUGGAUGCUUUACACAUGCAAGUCGAACGGCAGCACGGACUUCGGUCUGGUGGCGAGCGCAUAAACGGGUAGUGACGUAUCGGAACGUGCCUAUAGCGGGGGAUAACUACGCGAAAGCGAAGCACACGUACACGCCCUUCGGGGGAAAGCGGGGACCUUCGGGCCUCGCACCAUUAGAGCGGCCGAUAUCGGAUUAGCUAGUUGCGGCAACGGUCACCGCUGCCAUGACGAUCCGCUGGUUUGAGAGACGACCAGCCACACUGGGAUCAGAGACACGGCCCAGACUCCGCCGGAGUGCAGCAGUAAAAUUUUGGACAAUGGGGAAACCCUGAUCCAGCCAUCCUGCGCGGUGAUGAAGGCCUUCGGGUUAGAAAGCACUUUUGCGGAAGAAACGGCACGGGAUACCCCGUGCAACUGACGGUACCUGCAGAAUAAGCGUCCAAUAACUACGUGCCAGCAGCCGGCAUACGUAGGUGCAGGCGUUAAUCGGAAUUACUGGGCGAAGGUGCGCAGGCGGUUCGAAAGAAAGAUGUGAAAUCCCAGAGCUAACUUUGGAACUGGCAUUUUAAUCAAUGAGCUUGAGUGUGUCAGAUGUGAGGUGCACUCGCGUAGCAGCGAAAUGGCGUAGAUAUGUUGAUAACACCGAUGGCGAAGGCAGCCUCCUGGGAUAACACUGACGCUCAUGCACGCAAGCAGGGGAGCAAACAGGAUUAGAUACCCUGGUAGUCCACGCCCUAAACGAUGUCAACUAGCUGUUGGGGUCUGGCCUUGUAGUGCAGCUGUUGGUGAAGUUGGACCGCCUGUGAGUAUAUGGUCGCAAGAUUAAACCUCAAAAAGGAAUUGAUUUGGGACCCGCACAGCGGAUGAUGUGGAUUAAUUCGAUGCAACGCGAAAAACUGUCCUUACCCUUGACAUGUCUGGAAUCCCGAAGAGAUUUGGGAGGCCGCAGAGAACCGGAACACAGGUGCUGCAUGGCUGUCGCCGUCACUCGUCGAGAUGCUGUUGUCCUGCAACGAGCGCAACCCUUGUCAUUAGUUGCUACGAAGGGCACUCUUAAUGAGACUGCCGGGUGACAAACCGGAGGAAGGUGGGGAUGACGUCAAGUCCUCAUGGCCUCAGGGCAGGGCUUCACACGUCAUACAAUGGUCGGGACAGAGGGUCGCCAACCCGAGGGGGAGCCAAUCCCCAGAAACCCGAUCGUAGUCCGAUCGCAAUUCCGCAACCUGACUGCGUGAAGCUCAAAUCGCGAAUCGCGGAUCAGCAUGUCGCGGUGAACAUGCUCCCGGUCUUGUAUACACACCGCCCGUCACACCAUGGGAGUGGGUUUUACCAUAGCUAGCCCAACCGCGAGGCGAUUGCAUACCACGGUAGGAUUCAGCGACUGGGGUGAAGUCGUAACAAGGUAGCUCA
rnacentral:rRNA from 1 species